rnacentral:lncRNA from 1 species
CAUAAACACAAAUGGAGACAGGUUAAGAAGGUGGUGGGGGCAAAAAUCAAUUCUUCCACUUAUAAGUAAUUAAGACAUAGAGGAAGAGACAGAUUUUAAUUUAUAGUUAUAUGAUUAACCCCAAGUGAGAAAUAAACCACUCAAUGUGAACACAAGUGACAAAAAAUAAAGGCUUAGGAGAACUAGAAAAGAUGGAAUAUCUACAACUAUUGUGCAUUGGCCAAAACAAGUGCAGAAAAGCUUUAUUUUGGGCUUUGAGUAGAUCACAGCUAGGUGCAAGCUGGUUUUGAAAGCCUAUUGCUAGACCUGUCAUUAUUUAAGCCAUUCUGUAAGAGCCUGGGCUGACCUUUCAAAGCCUGCUCUGAGAUCCGUCUCCCCAACAACAGUGAGUCACCCUCCUUUGGAGGCAUGCCUGCUUCUACGGGAGCGAGCCCCUGUGGAGCUGCAGCUCUGUGUUUUACUCCAUGUUCAUGGGUUGGCCACUCCUGACACUGAGGAAGGAGGGAGAGCAGGAGGCAGCUGUAGACCGUCCCUCUAGUCACAGGCACAUCAAAAUCUCACCCAGAUCUACCCAGACAGGAGAAGAGGCAGCUAACUCCUUUCUUUGUGGGAAUGGGAAACUCUUGCCUUAGAUAUCUUUCACAACUGCACUUAUUCCACCUUUCCUCUCCUUAAUGACUGCUAAAGGAAACUUUGGAGAAGCCUGCAGCCAUAGCAAGAGACAGAAGAACAAGAUCGGCCAACAUGAAGACCAUGGAACUAAGAGCCAGAAAAUACAAGGUCUACGUCCAGCUAUGCUGCUAGUUCACAGUGCUGCUCUCGAAUGGCUCAUUCCAGGUCCUGUCAACAGUACCGCACGCUCUUUAGGCUAGAGCGAUAGAAGUCACCCAGUGACGUGCCACAGGCCGGACAUCUCCACAUCUUCCCAACACACACAGGCUCCUCGGUCCCUAGGCGGGCUAGCAACGCCGUCGCUCGUCAACCAGGUCAGCCUAGACAUGAGGGGCUGCGAGACAUAUGCCUCAGAGCUGUUAUCGCAAUGAAGCGGGCUAUAUAGACUAUCACAGCAAGCCAGAACCUGACAGUACACCAGGCUAAGUGUG